UAAAAGGCCAUAGCCAACUACAUUGCAAAAUUUCCAACGAGCUUUUUGGAAAUUUGGUGGCAGGAUCCUGCUUGCGGCUCAAUCGUAAGUUCCCUCCCGGCAUGCAUCAAUUCUCCUUGUCCUCCUUUCGUGGGGAAGAUUUGCGGAGGAUCCUCUUCCCAUUCCGGAUUACAACGUUCCUCAUAAUGUUUCUUUGCGGCAACGGGGCCGAGAUUGACCAUAUCUGAACAAAGCAAACGGACACAAACACGCAUUAGUCCCAGGAGCCCCAGAUGGAAAGCAUAGAAUGAGCAUUGCUUACAUCGCAAAAGGGAACACUAGAGUGAGAAAGCAAGGGUGAGGGAACGAGUGAGGGCUGGGCUUAUAUUGCCACGAGAUGGUCAAUAUUCUAGAGCUUUCUGCACCACGUAGGCGCCCGGAGUGGAGAAAACGAGAUCGAGAAGCACAGAAGCGGAGGGAAUGAAUGCCAAGUGGGG
rnacentral:lncRNA from 1 species